rnacentral:rRNA from 1 species
AUUGAACGCUGGCGGCAUGCCUUACACAUGCAAGUCGAACGGCAGCACGGGUGCUUGCACCUGGUGGCGAGUGGCGAACGGGUGAGUAAUACAUCGGAACGUACCUUAUCGUGGGGGAUAACGCAGCGAAAGCUGUGCUAAUACCGCAUACGCCCUGAGGGGGAAAGCGGGGGAUCGAAAGACCUCGCGCGAUUAGAGCGGCCGAUGCCUGAUUAGCUUGUUGGUGGGGUAAAAGCCCACCAAGGCGACGAUCAGUAGCUGGUCUGAGAGGACGAUCAGCCACACUGGGACUGAGACACGGCCCAGACUCCUACGGGAGGCAGCAGUGGGGAAUUUUGGACAAUGGGGGAAACCCUGAUCCAGCAAUGCCGCGUGAGUGAAGAAGGCCUUCGGGUUGUAAAGCUCUUUUGUCAGGGAAGAAACACCGGCACUAACACAGUCCGGGAAUGACGGUACCUGAAGAAUAAGCACCGGCUAACUACGUGCCAGCCGCCGCAGAAA